rnacentral:rRNA from 1 species
GACGAACGCUGGCGGCGUGCCUAACACAUGCAAGUCGAACGGAAAGGCCCUGCUUUUGCGGGGCGCUCGAGUGGCGAACGGGUGAGUAACACGUGAGUAACCUGUCCUUGACUUUGGGAUAACUUCAGGAAACUGGGGCUAAUACCGGAUAGGAGCUCCUGCUGCAUGGUGGGGGUUGGAAAGUUUCGGCGGUUGGGGAUGGACUCGCGGCUUAUCAGCUUGUUGGUGGGGUAGUGGCUUACCAAGGGUUUGACGGGUAGCCGGCCUGGGAGGGUGACCAGCGACAUUGGGACUGCGAUACGGACCAGACUCCUACGGGAGGCAGCAGUGGAGAAUAUUGCACAAUGAGCGGAAGCCUGAUGCAGCAACGCCGCGUGCGGGAUGACGGCCUUCGGGUUGUAAACCGCUUUCGCCUGUGACGAAGCGUGAGUGACGGUAAUGGGUAAAGAAGCACCGGCUAACUACGUG